UGGGGGAAUAUUGGACAAUGGAGGCAACUCUGAUCCAGCCAUGCCGCGUGAAGGACUAAGGCCCUAUGGGCUGUAAACUUCUUUAGACGCAGAGCAAUAAGGGCCACGUGUGGUCCGAUGAGAGUAUGCGUAGAAUAAGCAUCGGCUAACUCCGUGCCAGCAGCCGCGGUAAUACGGGGGAUGCGAGCGUUAUCCGGAUUCAUUGGGUUUAAAGGGUGCGUAGGCGGCUUUGCAAGUCAGCGGUGAAAGGCCCGGGCUCAACCCGGAAAGUGCCGUUGAUACUGUGAGGCUGGAAUGCGGAUGCUGUGGGAGGAAUGAGUGGUGUAGCGGUGAAAUGCAUAGAUAUCACUCAGAACACCGAUUGCGAAGGCAUCUCACAAAUCCGCAA
rnacentral:rRNA from 1 species